rnacentral:rRNA from 1 species
UACGAAGGGUGCAAGCGUUACUCGGAAUUACUGGGCGUAAAGCGUGCGCAGGCGGUUUUGUAAGACAGAGGUGAAAUCCCCGGGCUCAACCUGGGAACUGCCUUUGUGACUGCAAGGCUAGAGUACGGCAGAGGGGGGAUGGAAUUCCGCGUGUAGCAGUGAAAUGCGUAGAUAUGCGGAGGAACACCGAUGGCGAAGGCAACCCCCUGGGCCUGUACUGACGCUCAUGCACGAAAGCGUGGGGAGCAAACAGG